GGCUGGUCUGAAGGUAGUGAGUUAUCACUUGAUUGUUCACAGUCAGUUACAGAUUGAACUCCUUGUUCUACUACUUUCCCCCUUCCCCACUACUGCACUUGACUAGUCUUAA
rnacentral:Y_RNA from 1 species